AUUGAACGCUGGCGGCAGGCCUAACACAUGCAAGUCGAGCGGAUGAAGGGAGCUUGCUCCUGGAUUCAGCGGCGGACGGGUGAGUAAUGCCUAGUAAUCUGCCUGGUAGUGGGGGAUAACGUCCGGAAACGGGCGCUAAUACCGCAUACGUCCUGAGGGAGAAAGUGGGGGAUCUUCGGACCUCACGCUAUCAGAUGAGCCUAGGUCGGAUUAGCUAGUUGGUGGGGUAAAGGCCUACCAAGGCGACGAUCCGUAACUGGUCUGAGAGGAUGAUCAGUCACACUGGAACUGAGACACGGUCCAGACUCCUACGGGAGGCAGCAGUGGGGAAUAUUGGACAAUGGGCGAAAGCCUGAACCAGCCAUGCCGCGUGGGUGAAGAAGGUCUUCGGAUUGUAAAGCACUUUAAGUUGGGAGGAAGGGCAGUAAGUUAAUACCUUGCUGUUUGGACGUUACCAACAGAAUAAGCACCGGCUAACUUCGU
rnacentral:rRNA from 1 species